rfam:Hubei polero-like virus 2 strain QTM26674 hypothetical protein 1, hypothetical protein 2, hypothetical protein 3, hypothetical protein 4, and hypothetical protein 5 genes, complete cds.
CCAAAAUCAGCCACACAUACACAAGUUGCGAGUAGUGGAGAUUCAGUCUUGUUACCA